CGACACCACCACGGGUGCCCGGUGAAAUUCCGGGCUGAGACGCCGUCACGGCGAACCGUCGAACCUGAUUCGGUUAGUACCGACGCUAGGGAGAAAACAUGAGCACAGG
rnacentral:ncRNA from 2 species